CCCUUAGAUGUUCUGGGCUGCACGCGUGCUACACUGAUGUAUUCAAUAAGCUCCCAACCCACUCCGAAGGGAUCGGGUAACCUUCGAAAAUCACAUCGUGAUGGGGAUAGACUGUUGCAAUUAUAAGUCUUUAACGAGGAAUUCCUAGUAAGUGCAGGUCAUCAGCUUGUGUUGAUUACGUCCCUGCCCUUUGUACACACCGCCCGUCGCUCCUACCGAUUGAGUGGUCCGGUGAGGCUUUGGGAUCUGAGCGGAAAGAGCGUUUCGCUGUUUCUGCUCGGAAAACUCAGUCGAACCUUAUCAUUUAGAGGAAGGAGAAGUCGUAACA
rnacentral:rRNA from 1 species